GGGGAUGUGGUUCAAUGGUAGAGUGCUUGCCUAGCAUGCAUGAGGCCCUGGGUUCAAUUCCCAGCACCACA
rnacentral:tRNA from 1 species